rnacentral:rRNA from 1 species
GGACCCGCACAAGCGGUGGAGCAUGUGGUUUAAUUCGAUGCAACGCGAAGAACCUUACCUGCCCUUGACAUACUCGGAACUUGUCAGAGAUGACUUGGUGCCUUCGGGAAUCGAGAUACAGGUGCUGCAUGGCUGUCGUCAGCUCGUGUCGUGAGAUGUUGGGUUAAGUCCCGCAACGAGCGCAACCCUUGUCCCUAGUUACCAGCACUUCGGGUGGGAACUCUAGGGAGACCGCCGGUGAUAAACCGGAGGAAGGUGGGGAUGACGUCAAGUCCUCAUGGCCCUUACAGGCUGGGCUACACACGUGCUACAAUGGCGAUGACAGUGGGCAGCGACCCCGCAAGGGUGAGCUAAUCUCCAAAAGUCGUCUCAGUUCGGAUUGUCCUCUGCAACUCGAGGGCAUGAAGGCGGAAUC